rnacentral:rRNA from 1 species
UACGUAGGGUGCGAGCGUUGUCCGGAAUUACUGGGCGUAAAGAGCUCGUAGGCGGUUUGUCGCGUCGUCCGUGAAAACUUGGGGCUCAACCCCCAAGCUUGCGGGCGAUACGGGCAGACUUGAGUACUGCAGGGGAGACUGGAAUUCCUGGUGUAGCGGUGAAAUGCGCAGAUAUCAGGAGGAACACCGGUGGCGAAGGCGGGUCUCUGGGCCGAGUAACUGACGCUGAGGAGCGAAAGCGUGGGUAGCAAACAGG